rnacentral:lncRNA from 1 species
CUGUACAGUUUUUUUUAUUCACGUAAGUACAUAAUAACCCUUAGAUUAAAUUGCAUUUUUACAAUAAAUAACCAAGCUUAGUGCUAUAUAUAUGACCUGCUACAUCGCUGCAUGCAUAACCUGGGAUGGUGCUGCCUACUUGCCUAGUGCAAUACUAGUAUAUAGCCGAGACCUAUCUGGCGUCGUGACUAUAGCUGACUAGCUUUGGAAUAAAAUGACACAUAUCAUUGGUCAACAAGGGUAUAUAUAGGCUGCAUCCUGUGUGAUGUGGAAUUCUUUCAAUUACUCCCUCCAUAUCUGAAUUAGUUGUCGUUGUGGGAGGGAGUCACGUUUUCAUAAAGAGUGUCGCUGAGGGUGAGAGAUAGAGCAUUUGGACGCGACUGCCCCUGGAGACGCUUCGGCUGCUGCCCGCAUUAAUCGCAUGAGCAGCAACGCAGCGAGCGCCAUGCAGCACAAAAAUGCCUUAGGCCCUGUUUAGUUCCCCACCCAAAAAUUUUUCAUCCAUCCCAUCGAAUCUUUCGACACAUGCAUGGAACAUUAAAUGUAGAUAAAAAAAUAAACUAAUUACACAGUUUAGUUGAGAAUCGCGAGACGAAUCUUUUAAGCCUAGUUACUCCAUGAUUAGCCUUAAGUGCUACAGUAACCCACAUAUGCUAAUGACAGAUUAAUUAUGCUUAAUAAAUUUGUCUUGCAGUUUUCUGACGAGUUAUGUAAUUUGUUUUUUUAUUAGUUUCUAAAAACUCCUCCCGACAUCUUUCCGACACAUCCGAUGUGACACCCAAAAAAUUUUCGUUCUCAAUCUAAACAGGCCCAUACAGCAAUAAAAAAGAGCACUUGUGGGGACUUGAACCAUUGACCAGCAGCCUCAGGCCAAGAGAACUAGCCACUCGAGCUACACAAGGUCAUUGUAAAAAUAACACCCGCAGUGGUAUUUAAUAAGGGCAAAGAAGAUAAAAUACUCUCUAAUUAAUUACUCCUUGGUUACCACAAUUCUGUCUUAAACGUCAACUAAUUCAGGUAUGGAGGGAGUAUCUCACAAUUCAUGACAAGUACAAGAAGACUCACACUUCUCACUGUAUUUUUUUUAAUUAGGUUAACACCGUAGGGGGACGAAUGGUCCCCACAUAAAUUUUCAUUCCUUAGAUGC